AGGACGAACGCUGGCGGCGUGCUUAACACAUGCAAGUCGAGCGAGAGCCAGCUGAGGGGUAACCCUCGGCUGGGGACAGCGGCGAACGGGUGCGUAACACGUGGGCAACCUGCCCCUGACACUGGGAUAACCCCGGGAAACCGGAGCUAAUACCGGAUACUCUCGGCCGAUCACAUGGCUGGCCGAGGAAAGGUCCGCCGGUCAGGGAUGGGCCCGCGGCCUAUCAGCUUGUUGGCGAGGUAACGGCUCACCAAGGCGACGACGGGUAGCUGGUCUGAGAGGACGACCAGCCACACUGGAACUGAGAUACGGUCCAGACUCCUACGGGAGGCAGCAGUGGGGAAUAUUGCACAAUGGGCGAAAGCCUGAUGCAGCGACGCCGCGUGAGGGAUGAAGGCCUUCGGGUCGUAAACCUCUUUCGGCAGGGACGAAGCGAUCAGUGACGGUACCUGCAGAAGAAGCCCCGGCUAGCUACGUGCCAGCAGCCGCGGUAA
rnacentral:rRNA from 1 species